GCGCCUUUACAGCAACUUCUCUAUUCUUGUGAUUCCAAGUGUUAGGUACUACCCAAAAUAAAUAGGUGCUGAUUCUUGUUGACACAUGUCUUGCAUCAUGUCACUAGCAUGCUGCAAGAACAUGGCACAGACAUGAAGAUAUACCAGAAGAAUGCUCUAUCAACAACCCUGCACUGACUACAGGCUAAAAGGCCCAAGUACCUCUGAUCUUCCACCAAAUCCAUGCAUUCCAUGGCCAGAAAUUAUACUGUUACACAUUGUUCAUUCAU
rnacentral:misc_RNA from 1 species